GCUUGCUAGGGAGCUCUGGAUACACCUGAUCUGGUCUGAUCUCAGAAGCUAAACAGGGUCAGUACCUGCACAGGAAACCGCUGGGUCAGGUGUCAGGCUAGCAAUCC
rnacentral:rRNA from 1 species